rnacentral:rRNA from 1 species
UUCCAGACUCCUACGGGAGGCAGCAGUGAGGAAUAUUGGUCAAUGGGCGAGAGCCUGAACCAGCCAAGUCGCGUGAGGGAAGACGGUCCUAUGGAUUGUAAACCUCUUUUGCCGGGGAGCAAAAAGCGGUACGCGUACCGCAUCGAGAGUACCCGGAGAAAAAGCAUCGGCUAACUCCGUGCCAGCAGCCGCGGUAAUACGGAGGAUGCGAGCGUUAUCCGGAUUUAUUGGGUUUAAAGGGUGCGCAGGCGGCGAUUUAAGUCGGCGGUAAAUUUUCGGGGCUCAACCCCGACAAGCCGUUGAAACUGGCUCGCUAGGGUGGGCGAGAAGUAUGCGGAAUGCGCGGUGUAGCGGUGAAAUGCAUAGAUAUCGCGCAGAACUCCGAUUGCGAAGGCAGCAUGCCGGCUCCACACUGACGCUGAGGCACGAAAGCGUGGGUAUCGAACAGGAUUAGAUACCCCUGUA